rfam:Danio rerio chromosome 7, GRCz11 reference primary assembly.
AUUCACAGCCAUAUCACCCUGCAGCCCAAGACUGGUUACUCACUGAAGCUAAGCAGUGCUGAACUGGUUCAGUAACUAGAUGGGAGACCACAUGGUAAAAACUAGGUUGCUGUUGGAA